rfam:Myotis davidii contig13636, whole genome shotgun sequence.
GGAAGUUCUUGGGUGAUGCACCCCGGAAUCAGUCUCCCUCUUCUCUGGUUCCAGGUGCAUCACCCAAGAACUGCA